rnacentral:rRNA from 1 species
GACUACUGGGGUAUCUAAUCCUGUUCGCUCCCCACGCUUUCGCUCCUCAGCGUCAGUAGUUGCCCAGAGACCCGCCUUCGCCACCGGUGUUCCUCCUGAUAUCUGCGCAUUUCACCGCUACACCAGGAAUUCCAGUCUCCCCUGCAACACUCUAGCUAGCCCGUAUCGAAUGCAGGCUCGGGGUUGAGCCCCGAGUUUUCACAUCCGACGUGACAAGCCGCCUACGAGCUCUUUACGCCCAAUAAAUCCGGACAAUGCUUGCACCCUACGUAUUACCGCGGCUGCUGGCACGUAGUUAGCCGGUGCUUCUUCUGCGGGUACCGUCACUUUCGCUUCGUCCCCGCUGAAAGAGGUUUACAACCCGAAGGCCUUCGUCCCUCACGCGGCGUCGCUGCGUCAGGCUUUCGCCCAUUGCGCAAUAUUCCCCACUGCAGCCUCCCGUAGG